GAGAGAGAGAGAGAGCGAGAGAGACGUUUCGAGAGCCCCGAUUUAAUUAAACCGCUUAUACAACGGUCGCUGGGAAAUUGAAGCGGGAAGAAGAAGCGUGGAGGCAGCUGCGGGUCGCAAUUAUUUCUAGUUCCACAUCCGACACACGCGUGACACCGUGUUGUCGUUGCUCGCUUCGGCUCGAGGGGUCACGCUCUAGCUCUCGCAACUCGGAUGUGUGUUUACAUGUAUCUAGUUUAUACGUUCUUUUUGUUCGCGUGUGUACGUUGGAAACAUCACUCGAGCGCCGCUUCUGCUACUACGUAUACCAAGUUUGCCCGACAAACGCUUUCGUCUACGCUCUAAGGCUUCUUUCUACGACGUUUCGUCGAGAGAAAUCGUUGUUGCGAGUUAUAAAACGUCAUUCGACGUUUUUGCGAUGGAUCACGGCGAAGAGAUGUUGGUGAAUCUUGAAGGAAUUGAUAUUGGAUCGAUCGGAUUCCGAUGAAUUCCCUUGAGCUUCUCUCCGCAACGUCACUUUAAUUCCAUAUACGACCACCAUCGUUCAAACUUCAUUCAAACUCCUCCAACCAGGUACAUUCAAAAUAUAUUUCCAUAAAAUUAGAGAGAAAGAGAGAGAGAGAAAAAGAAAGACAGAAGAAACUAAUCUUCAUACCAAAAAAAAAAAGAAAAAAAUGUUCAAGUCAACUCCAAUUGACCGAAAGGAUCAAGUCUGGGCUUAAGAAAGAUUUGGUGAAGAAAAAGUAUAGGUAGCCAACUAUAAAUCAGGCCCAUGGAAGGAUUACGUGAACGUUGUUGGCAAUGAUGGUACAUGGAGGCUAACGAUCGUCAAAAGUCAGGAAGCUCGGUCGUAAAUUCGUCUAAGACAUUUAUAGACGGACACCUCGCGGCCGGAAAUUCUUCCUAGACCUCUAGCCGAGCCUUUGCAACAGACCUAACCUAAUCUCACAAGUGAUCGUUAAUUUGACAACAGAGUUUCUCGAACUCUGUGUAAGCAUUGGAUCGUUACGUCCAGACCUGUCUCGUUAAUUGUUGGAACGAUUUGGUUGGACAAUGAUAAAUAAUGCCAGAAGAAAAAUCUAUAAAGAUGAUUUCACAAGAAAAAAAUCUUGAAAAUGGCCAAAAUGACUUCAACCAAAUAAAAAUCAAGUCGAGAAUGAACGAAAGGAUGGAAUAAAAACGGUGAAUGACAAACAGAGGAUAGACCGAUUCGUGGUUUCGUUUUUCGCGAGACGAAGCCUAAUAAAAACGUUAGUAACCUACCGUGAGAUGUUUCAAGUUUCAAGCCGGCUGGUGGCGCCAGGCUACGCUACAUUCUGUCCAGGGGUAGCUCGGUCUAUAUGCCGAUCUCGAUGUGGAGGGGAGGCUUGUGCCGGGAUAUCGCACACAGACACUGUAAAAUCAAAUUCUACACCGACUCACAUUUGUAGGGAUGGUGCAGCUCGAACUGGCCACCGAGCGGAAGGAGAAAAGGACUAUAGGGACACAAUGGAAGAGCGAGCGAGAUAAGUGGACGAGGAUGAACCGAUGGAGAGGGGUAGGUUGACCCUGCCGGGUCAAGAGAGAGACAGUCAUGUCACAGGAAAAGGGACAGCUACAAAGGUGUAAUUCGAUUCCGUUCUCAGAUAACAAAGCGAGCUGCAUAGAGUUAGGAAAGGAAAAGGAUGCAAUGAGCGAAGCAGGUUGAUUGCGGGAGAAAGAUGCAAGGAGGGAGGAGUUGGCCGACCCUGAGCAAGUGGACGAAUACCAAUCGCCAGUGGAUGACACCCGCCGUAUUCGACUGAAUUUUCAACGUGCUGGGCUAUGCUGAAUUUUUCAACUCGGUGGAUAUUCUGAACGGACUUUUUAGAAGCUGGCCUAUACACCGACAAAGAGAAUGGAUUUAUUAAGCUGUUUGAUAGUGGAAAAGAGGAUUGUGGAAGAUAUCGUGCAUGGCUCUUGAGGAUAUCAUUACGAAAAAUUUUAAGACCAUCGAAUACCCUAAUAAUAGGCAACCGGAUUGACAUAAUGGUAGAUCGGGCAAACAGGUAUAAAUUAUAUAUGUAAAUUGCAUACGAUCUUCAAGCGAUAAAUGUCAUCGUCUUACCUUCGUUUCCAGCGAUUUCUUCUGCAUGGUGUUGUGGAAUAAUCAAGGUCAUCAUGCAUGAAUGACGUCUUCGAAUGGAUUAUCCAAUUCUUGGCAGGUUGAUUCAAGAUGUGUUUUCGGAUAGUGAUAACUGGGGCCAUAUCUCGACGAGGAAUGUGAAACCCCCUGUACGUAUACUGAAUGUAUCCUGAGUGUAUUUCUGUCCGGUAUACCUUCAGUAUACGUAACAGGAGGCUACACCGAACUACGCUGUCAUCAUGGAUCACGUUGAUAUCCACCACUAAUCGUAAAUCCAUUUUAAACGGAUUACGAUGCUAUCUUUAUUACCAAUAUGGUUUAGAGCACUUGUGUACAUCAUCACUUUGCAUAAAUUGGAAUUGUAACUUGUUUUACAUAUUUAUAUUCGACGACUGAAUUACAAUUCGAUUAUAUAUCUUGUUAAAACUAAUGGAACUUGUUAGGUUAUGUGUUUGCUUGCGAGAGAAAGAAGUGAGGUUAAAAUAAAUGAACAAUCGAUGUUGUAAAUUAUGAUUUGUGUACUUGAGAAAGAAAUAAUUGUUAGGUUAUGUUGUGAUGCAGAGGAAAUGAGGUUAAGAUAGUUGAUUUUAUGGAUGAUUGUAGAUUGUUUUGUAUAUUGAUUAUUGAAAUAUUUUUAAAAUAAGAAAAUAAGUUAAAAAAAAUAGAUAGAUUUUAAAAACUUUUUGAUGAAAUUAGUAUUUAAAGUUUGUAGAUUGAAUUUGAAUUAAUAAAUGAUUAUACAAAAUAAUUGUCAACAUAAUGCAUAGCAA